AAAAGGAAAAUUUUUUUUUUUUUUAAAACUUUCAACAACGGAUCUCUUGGUUCUGGCAUCGAUGAAUAACGCAUCAAAAUGCGAUAAGUAAUGUGAAUUGCAGAAUUCAGUGAAUCAUCGAAUCUUUGAACGCACAUUGCGCCCGCCAGUAUUCUGGCGGGCAUGCCUGUUCGAGCGUCAUUUCAACCCUCAAGCCCCCGGGUUUGGUGUUGGGGAUCGGCGAGCCCUUGCGGCAAGCCGGCCCCGAAAUCUAGUGGCGGUCUCGCUGCAGCUUCCAUUGCGUAGUAGUAAAACCCUCGCAACUGGUACGCGGCGCGGCCAAGCCGUUAAACCCCCAACUUCUGAAUGUUGACCUCGGAUCAGGUAGGAAUACCCGCUGAACUUAA
rnacentral:rRNA from 1 species